UUUCGUUUACAUGAAAAUGACGCUAUCAAAUUAUAUUAAUAAUGGCUGAAAACAACCAUGCCACCAAUAAAUUUAUUUUGGGUAACGUUUCUCUCAUUCCUUGCUAAUCAUGCACAAUUGUUUUCUCAUCAAGUCGACAUUAUCCGUGCAUGAACAUAUAUUCAAUGUUGACUUUUAAACUAAAAGGUCGAAACAGUUGACGCCAAUUAAUGAUUGCAAAUAAAAUUCCAUUAGGGGGACAUUUUAAAGGACAAAACUAAC
rnacentral:lncRNA from 1 species